GCCCGCUCAGAAACUUAAAGGAAUUGACGGGGCCCGCACAAGCGGUGGAGUAUGUGGUUUAAUUCGAUGCAACGCGAAGAACCUUACCUGGUCUUGACAUCCCGGAGACCCUUAGGAAACUAGGGGGUGCUUCCAUCUGGAAGAAUCUGGAGACAGGUGCUGCAUGGCUGUCGUCAGCUCGUGUCGUGAGAUGUUGGGUUAAGUCCCGCAACGAGCGCAACCCUUGCCUUUAGUUGCCAGCAGUUCGGCUGGGCACUCUAAAGGGACUGCCGGUGUUAAACCGGAGGAAGGUGGGGAUGACGUCAAGUCCUCAUGGCCUUUAUGACCAGGGCUACACACGUACUACAAUGGCCGAUACAAAGGGCAGCGACACUGCGAGGUGAAGCCAAUCCCGUAAAACCGAUCGUAGUCCGGAUCGCAGUCUGCAACUCGACUGCGUGAAGUCGGAAUCGCUAGUAAUCGUGAAUCAGAAUGUCACGGUGAAUACGUUCCCGGGCCUU
rnacentral:rRNA from 1 species